rnacentral:rRNA from 1 species
AUUGAACGCUGGCGGCAUGCUUUACACAUGCAAGUCGAACGGCAGCGCGGGCUUCGGCCUGGCGGCGAGUGGCGAACGGGUGAGUAAUACAUCGGAACGUGCCCAGUAGUGGGGGAUAGCUCGGCGAAAGCCGGAUUAAUACCGCAUACGACCUGAGGGUGAAAGCGGGGGAUCUUCGGAACUCGCGCUAUUGGAGCGGCCGAUGGCAGAUUAGCUAGUUGGUGGGGUAAAGGCCUAUCAAGGCGACGAUCUGUAGCUGGUCUGAGAGGACGACCAGCCACACUGGGACUGAGACACGGCCCAGACUCCUACGGGAGGCAGCAGUGGGGAAUUUUGGACAAUGGGCGAAAGCCUGAUCCAGCAAUGCCGCGUGUGUGAUGAAGGCCUUCGGGUUGUAAAGCACUUUUGGCGGGAACGAAAAGGACUGUGCCAAUACCACGGUUCGAUGACGGUACCCGCAGAAUAAGCACCGGCUAACUACGUG